UAAAAAGCCUACGGUGCAACUGUUUUAUCCCCUGAUGGUGUGUAAAGAGCCACGGCCUUUUAAGCCAUCGAGGGAACGACUGAAAACUCAGUUUCAAAAAUCAUAGAAGAUUAUCUUGCUGAACAAAAUGUGGACAUUUGCGGUGCAUUAAUGGAAGGACGUGAUUCCAGUGUCUGAUUCCAAACCUUGCCAUGAGUUCCUGUUGCCUGAAUCAAGACCUGCAGACAAGUAGGGUAAAGACAAUAUUUCACGUCUGUUGCACACCUGCUUGAUGGAGUUCUCCAUUGCACCUGUAACCCCGCCCCCACAGUGAUGUCACGGUGCACGACACACCCUGAAGUUCACCUCUACAUCACUGCAGAAAGGGAUGAAGAUUAAAAAACAUUUUCGGUUGCUUUGAAGUUGUUCUUAAACUGCACACAUCUUCUUCUCUCUUGUAAAAACAAACACGUGCCUGUUGAUGAAAAAAAUA